rnacentral:rRNA from 1 species
CAGCCGCCGCGGUAAUACAGAGGGUGCAAGCGUUACUCGGAAUUACUGGGCGUAAAGCGUGCGUAGGUGGUGGUUUAAGUCCGUUGUGAAAGCCCUGGGCUCAACCUGGGAAUUGCAGUGGAUACUGGGUCACUAGAGUGUGGUAGAGGAUAGUGGAAUUUCCGGUGUAGCAGUGAAAUGCGUAGAGAUCGGAAGGAACAUCUGUGGCGAAGGCGACUAUCUGGGCCAACACUGACACUGAGGCACGAAAGCGUGGGGAGCAAACAGGAUUAGAUACCCGGUAGUCCCUGUCUCUUAUACA